rnacentral:rRNA from 1 species
AAUGAACGCUGGCGGCAGGCCUAACACAUGCAAGUCGAACGAGUCGCGGACGGGUGAGUCACGUCUGUGAAACUGCAUGAUGGCGGGGGAUAAUUACUGGAAACGGAAGCUAAUACCGCUAACCAUCAGAUUAUCCCAGUUGGCAUUAGCCUGUAGCUUGGGGAACGGCUCACCAAGGAGACGAUCCCUAGCGGAUCUGAGAGGAUGACCUGCCACACUGGAACUGAGACACGGUCCAGACUCCUACGGGAGGCAGCAGUAGGGAAUAUUGGACAAUGGACGCAAGCCUGAUGCAGCAAUGCCGCGUGAAUGAAGAAGGCCUUCGGGUUGUAAAGUACUGUCAGCGGAGAGGCGUUAUCCACAGAGGAAGCACCGGCUAACUCCGUGCCAGCCGCCGCGGUAAUAC